GCCUACGGGACGCAGCAGUGGGGAAUAUUGCACAAUGGGGGAAACCCUGAUGCAGCAACGCCGCGUGAGUGAAGAAGUAUUUCGAUAUGUAAAGCUCUAUCAGCAGGGAAGAAGAUGACGGUACCUGAGUAAGAAGCCCCGACUAACUACGUGCCAGCAGCCGCGGUAAUACGCAGGGGGCAAGCGUUAUCCGGAUUUAUUGGGGUUAAAGGGGGCGCAGGCGGCCUGUUAAGUCAGCGGUAAAAGACCGGGGCUCAACCCCGGCGAGCCGUUGAAACUGACGGGCUGGAGUUGGAGAG
rnacentral:rRNA from 1 species